UUAAUUCCAUUUUAUAUCUAAAAUUUAUAUCUCUCUCAUUAUUGGUCCAAAAAUUAUGGGACCAAUUUCAUUCUUCUCCUUUUAACUUCUACUUUCUGAAAAUGAUUUUUAAUAUUUUUUAUUUUAUCAUUUGAUAUUUUUUUAGUAAUUUUCUCUUUUCUGGUUAUUUUUUAUUCAUUUAAAAUAGUUUUUGAUAUUCA
rnacentral:lncRNA from 1 species